GAUGAACGCUGGCGGCGUGCCUAAUACAUGCAAGUCGAGCGAAUGGAUUAAGAGCUUGCUCUUAUGAAGUUAGCGGCGGACGGGUGAGUAACACGUGGGUAACCUGCCCAUAAGACUGGGAUAACUCCGGGAAACCGGGGCUAAUACCGGAUAACAUUUUGAACCGCAUGGUUCGAAAUUGAAAGGCGGCUUCGGCUGUCGCUUAUGGGUGGACCCGCGUCGCAUUAGCUAGUUGGUGAGGUAACGGCUCACCAAGGCAACGAUGCGUAGCCGACCUGAGAGGGUGCACGGCCACCCUGGGACUGAGACACGGCCCAGACUCCUACGGGAGGCAGCAGUAGGGAAUCUUCCGCAAUGGACGAAAGUCUGACGGAGCAACGCCGCGUGAGUGAUGAAGGCUUUCGGGUCGUAAAACUCUGUUGUUAGGGAAGAACAAGUGCUAGUUGAAUAAGCUGACACCUUGACGGUACCUAACCAGAAAGCCACGGCUAACUACGUGCCAGCAGCCGCCGUAA
rnacentral:rRNA from 1 species